CCUACGGGAGGCAGCAGUGGGGAAUAUUGCACAAUGGGGGAAACCCUGAUGCAGCGACGCCGCGUGAGUGAAGAAGUAUUUCGGUAUGUAAAGCUCUAUCAGCAGGGAAGAAAUAGCGACCUUUGGGUCGCCAGACGGUACCUGAUUAAGAAGCCCCGGCUAACUACGUGCCAGCAGCCGCGGUAAUACGUAGGGGGCAAGCGUUAUCCGGAUUUAUGGGGUGUAAAGGGAGGGUAGACGGCAGCGCAAGUCUGAAGUGAAAUGCCGGGGCUUAACCCCGGAACUGCUUUGGAAACUGUGGAGCUAGAGUGCAGGAGAGGUAAGUGGAAUGCCUAGUGUAGCGGUGAAAUGCGUAGAUAUUAGGAGGAACACCAGUGGCGAAGGCGGCUUACUGGACUGUAACUGACGUUGAGGCUCGAAAGCGUGGGGAGCAAACAGGAUUAGAUACCCCUGUAGUC
rnacentral:rRNA from 1 species